AUGCUCCACUUUGGCAGCACAUAUACUGAGAUUGGAAAGACAGAGAAGAUCAGCAUGGUUCCCGCCAAGGAUGACACGCAAAUUCACAAGGUGCUCCAUAUUACA
ensembl:snRNA U6 U6 spliceosomal RNA